UUGGUGGUUGUAUGCAUGCGGUGGGAUUGUGAGUGCGUGUGGGAGCCGUCGGCAACGCUGACUUCUUCCGAGUGUGGUCUUCCCAGGCGAUGGGUUGUGUGUCCGAGUGUGAUGGUGUCCGCGCUCUUCGGGUUGUUGAUUUGGGUCCUUCAAGCCCUUCUGUCGUUUUCCUCGUCGUAUACAAUUAUGCUCCUUUGCUUUCUCGACACGGGUCUGCCUCUGGGUGUUGGGUUGUGUGGCCUUUGCGAUUGUGUUUGGGUGGUUUCGUUGUUGUGUCGGGCGUGCGUGAUCCUGACUACCUUAGAGGUAUGUCCGUGAGCGACUGCGUUGGACUGAUUUCGUUGUGGCGCGUUGGACAGUGUGCGGGCCUGGCCAUGUCGGCUUGUGGGGCAGCGUUGGGUUGUGUUUACUUUGCUUCCCCUCGGUGCGGCUGGACCGUGUGUGGUCCUGUCCAUACUGGGUUGUGUGCUUGUGUCCUUUAGAAGUGCAUUUGCAAAUCGCUGGGGGGUGGAGGGGAGGGCGAGCGGGAGACGGAGCCGCAGGUUGAGGAGGCGGCUAGGGGGCGGGGAGAGAGAUUUCACAUUUUAUUCCAAAUUAUGAUGUAUUCGGAAGCCAGUGUUGGCUUGGAUGGGCAGACGGAGCCCGGUCGGCGGCUGCUCUGUCCAGAGGCCAGCCUGUGCCCCGGUGUUCGAGGGGUUUGUUAGCGUGGGAGGUUCUUCGGGCUCGGAGCUGAGCAGCGCUCGCCAAGGCCCGCGCCUUCAAGCCGGUAGCCGCCGGCUUCGGUUUCCGCCGCACCCAGGCUUCAUCCAUUUCUGACUGCCCAGGACCACACCGUGGCCUAACUGCUGGUCUCUCAGUGAGAGAGGGGGAAAGCAAAGACCCUCAUCCACAGCUUGGCUCCCGCCCCUCUCCGGCGGAGUGGAGAUCUUAUUCAGAGGGGCCUGUCUCUCUAAAUAUGCCCCAGGUGAGUUUUGGGGGAACAGUAUCGGUGGCAACAGUGUCCAGGAAGACCUUGGGUUCCGGCCUGGGGUGGGGGUGGGUUCAGGACAGAGGCCAGUCCUCUCUCUGAUUGGGUUAGGGGAGGAGGAGCCCAGAGCUGGGAAUCCAGGAUCCGUGUCUCUGUGGUUUCAGGCGGGGUCCUUUCUUUUUUCAAUCCUGGGUAAAAACACCUAGCUGGACUUAGCCCCCCCAGGCCGCUCCCAUCAGUCCUGGUCCUGUGCUUCUUUCACAAGGCUCCUAACUCUGGGGUGGCUAUAUCCGGGUGGUGCAGGCUGCGUGUGCCGGGGCCCUGGCAGGAAGAAGGCCCAGCCACCCUGGCUAGUGCAGUCCCAAGUCGGUGGGCUGUGACCAAGGCCUAAGGCCUCGGGCGGGGCGGCACUGGAACACUCCUCCACUCUUGUAGUAGCUGGGAAGGUAGUUCUGUUUUCGCGCAGGCUUGGGGCUCCCCCGGAGGAAUUCUUCGGUACUGGGUGCAAUAGGAAGGGCAGGAAGCUAGCUUUUACCCCAGUUACCAGUGAAGGCUGUUUUCAUACGAGAAAUUUUUCCUGCCCGGAACUGGGAGCUGCGGAGACCCUGUUCCUGCCCCCCUAGGAGCUCCUGGGAUCCCUGUCUUGUUCAGACUCGAACGGAAACAUUGCGGCCAUCUGGCAACAGGAGAUGAGAAUCCAGUGUUGGGGGCUGCAAACUGGUUCUGGGCCGCACAAAGACAGAGGAAUUGUAAUGGUCAAAAUAGUCUAGUGCGAUUCUGUUCAAAAGCUUCUCUCCAUUCCUUCAUCUACCCCAAAUAAAAACAAAUGAACAAAGUAAAAUCACUCAGGCUUUCUUUUCAGUAAUCUUAGCCAAAGCCAAGUGAUUGGGGUUAGUCUCCUACAACCAAAGGUGUUUACGAGUUUGCUGUAGGCUUCCUCUGGAGCGUGGACCCCUGGCCUGGGUGAUCCCAGUUGCAGAAUAGCCUGCCGGGUUUUCCUAAGGUCCGAGGAUGGGCGGGGAGAGGUCGGCCACAGACCCUGGGGACCAAUCAUAGGUUUCUCACGGGGAGCCUCGGAGAUACAGAUAUUUAUAGACGUCUGGGGAGAGCAUUUGGGGCCAGGGUCAACUCAUCUGGAAUAUGUGCUCCUCUUGCCACUGGGGUGUUUGCGCCUACGUGAAGCCUCAGAAUUAAUCAGAGGGUAUAAAUGUGUCAUAAGGAGAGCUUGAACUCAGUCUGGUGAUUGUGGUGUGCACCGUUUUUUUGUCACUCUGGUUAGAAGCUGGGACUGAAGCACGUGUCACUGGGCACACAACGGUGUGUGGGGACAGUAAGGUAGGGAGCCAACACCUUGGGGUUUGUAUAUUUUGUCACAGGAUGGUCUGUUACUGGUGCAUUUCAUUGCUGCAGGAGAGCCAGGAACACCCGGCUGGCAUACCUCUGGUGCAUUUCUGGUGGCCGCAGUGUCGUGGCAGCCCCAUUCUGUGCAUACGGAUCUAUUGUUUCCGCCAUAAUCGUAAACUCGUUUCCAGUGAAGCCUUUGCGGACCCCCUACUUUUGCAUCUCAUGUACACCAGGUCUUGGGGACUUCUGUUGUUUCUGGGGGAGCCCCGGGAGCUGGCAGAGCCAGGGCAGAAGUGCGGUCUGAAUGACGAUUCUCCAUCAGCUGUGUGUCUGGUGGUAAUUUUGCUGAGCCCCAAGGAGGUUUCAGAAGGUUGGUUGGGUCUCUCUUGUGGAGCGGGAGGAUAUUUCCCAGGCCAACUCCGGACCGGUCCGGAGCGAUGCAGUGGUAGAAUAGCUGCCGUGAGUGAUUAGAUGCCCUCUGCUUGGUGCUGAAUUGGAUUUUUGUGUAUUUUCUAGUAUAAAAAAAAAUCCCAAUCAUCUGACAGCAAAAAUCUUCUUUCAGACAUCUUUGAAGACUGUCGGGUUGAUUAUAUAUGUAUUUUAUUAAAACAACUCACAAGCAUCCCCAAACUCUAGACCCAGAGUCUGGUGGUUUUUAGGUUUGCAUUCUUCCAGGGGCCUGACUCCAUUGGCAUCCAAGCAGGGUGAGGAAGGCCCCCAGCCAGUGUUAGUGGGGAGUGGAGCCUCUGUGGUCACCCCGUGUAUGGUUGUGGGGGAGUGUCUUCAGCCCCAGGGAUAUAAAUGGGAGGGUGUAUACAGGAGGAGAGCUCAGAGAGCCGGGAGAUCUCCAAGUUCUGGUCCUGCUCUGUGGCUCUGUGGCAAAUAGGUUCAUGUGACCUUGGGCAAGGCAUUCCCCUGGAUGAUCCAGUCUUCUUGUCGAUAAUAAUUUACUUGAGCAUUUGCACCUUGCUUUUAAAUGCAUCAAUGAGGCCUUGCUCCCAUUUCCCAGAGGACAACCCCAAGGCAGAAGAGGGGGAUGGAAGAGUUCAAGGGCCUCCAUGAUAUGCCUCAGGCUCACGGAUGGGAGCCUUAACAACCCAGUAGGCUCAGGGGCACUCUGAAUGCCUCGGCUCCAUAGCCAAGCCUCCCUUCCAGACCCCACCUCACGUGUGAGUCCCCCCAAGGCAGAAGAAGUUGGAGUGUGCAAGGGCAGAGGGCUAGGAUCAUUUUCUUGUCUUCCCAGUGUCUCAUCUCUGGUCUUGGUGGGAGUAAAGGGCCACCAGCAACUGCACAGAAUACACGGUGUAUUUGCUUACUCCAGACAGACAACCCCCGCAGGGGGGUGAAUACAUGUCGAGAUGACAGCAGGCAUGGCUGCCAGCUGUGGCACUGUGGACUCCAGGCCCUGAAGCCUCCAUCCCCUGAAUUCCCUACUUGCAUCCCUCCCAGGUUUCUGGGUGUUUGUGUGCGGUAGGCUGGCUGGGGGCGGGUAUUGCUGAGGGAGGUUCAAGAAGCACCCCAUCUCGGCGCCACAGUUUCCCCGCCAAAACCAAAAGGGGGGCGGGAGGAACAUGCUCAGGGGAUUUGUUCCCUCCUCUUCCCUUGCGGCCUAAGCAGGGGGACAAGAUACUUCUUUCUCGCCUCUUUCUACAUUUCCUUCCUUUCCCCCCUUCUGUUUUCUUUAGCUGGCUGUAUUCCUUUUCCACCAAUGUCUGUCGUGUUUGUCCAUCUCCUCAGUCUCUGUGCCUCCCAGACCCCUUUCCUUUCUCCCAAACCAGAGGCCCUCCCUCUCUCUCUCCUGCCCCAGCCCCCGCCGCAAGGGCCUACAGGCCCCGGGGGAGGGCGUGUGUCCACGUGGCGCUAAGUUGGUCCGCCUCUUCCCACGUCUCGGUGCGUGCAUUUCUCUGUGCCCUGCACCCCCUUCACCCACCCCUCGGUGGGCUGGGGGCGGUUGUCAAAGCGGGCGUCCGCUUGUCUGUCUGUCUGCCCGCAGGAUGACGGAGCGGCCGCC